ensembl:lncRNA
UGACGACGUGCUAGGAAGGCUGUGAAGAGCCUCGCUGGCCCCAGGAAGAGGUUUCAGGGAGGAUAUUCCUAGCAGCUGCCUAAACCACUGGUUUCGGGGAUCCUCCCUGCUUCUCCUCUGCUCAGCACUGGCUGCCCAUAUGUGCUUUUCCUUGGUGGAAUGGGAAGACACCUCUGGACAAGCUGAUGAGCUCCCAGACCCAUCAUUUCAGAUCCAUACGGACUGUAGCCUGCCAGGCUCCUCUGUCCAGGGGACUCUCCAGGCAAGAAUACUGGAAUGGGUUGCCAUGCCUCCUCCAGGGGAUCAUCCCCAUCCAGCGAUCGAACCCAUGUCUCAUGUCUCCAGCAUUGGCAGGCAGCCUGCUCAGCGUCCUGCACAUGCCGCCAGAGCAGAACACAAGACACAGGAGGUGGCGGUGCGCGUGGCAUGGCCUGGUCCCUGACCCCAAGGAAGCGACAUUCUAGUGGAGAAGAACAGGCAACAAGGAAGUAAAGGAACAGAAGGGGCACUGGCGUGAGAUCAUCAGUGUGGGAAGAAAAUUGAAACGGGACCUCCCUGGCAGUCCAGUGGUUAAGACUCCGCCUUCAGUGCAGGGGCUGCAGGCUCACCUCUGGUCACGAGCCAAGAAAACCAAAACAGGAAACUUCCCAGGUGGCUUGGUGGUAAAGAACUCGCCUGCCAACGCAGGAGCCACAGGAGACUCGGGUUCAGUCCCUGGGUCUGGAAGAUCCCCUGGAGGAGGAAAUGGCAACCCACUCCAGUACUUGCCAGGGAAAUCCCAUGGACAGAGGAGCCUAGCAGUCUGUAGUCCAUGGGGUUGCAAGGAAUCAGACACGACUGUGUGGCUGAGCAUGCACCAAGCAGAAGCGAUACUGUAACGAAUUGAAUAAAGACUUUAAAAUGCUCCACAUC